UAGCUUUAAGUUUUUAUUUAAAGUUUUACCUGCCCGGUGAAUAUUUUUAACGGCCGCAGUACUUUGACUGUGCUAAGGUAGCAUAAUAAAUUGACUUUUAAUUAAAGUCGGGUAUGAAAGGGGCUUCGGAGAGUAACUGUCUCGAAAUAUUUUAUUUUAAAUUACUCAAUGAGUGAAAAUACUCAUAAAUUUUUUUAUUAGACGAGAAGACCCUUAGAGUUAUAAUUAAAAUGAUUAUUUUUCAUAUUUCAUUUUUGUUGGGGCAACAAAGACUGGAUAUAACCGUCAAAAAAUUGUUUAACAUAGCCAAUGUAUUAAAAAAGAAAUAAACUACCUUAGGGAUAACAGCAUAAUUAAUUUUUAGAUUGUGACCUCGAUGUUGGAUUAAGGACUUUAUUUACUAGCCGUAAACAAAGAUGGUUCUGUUCGAACUGUGAUACCUU
rnacentral:rRNA from 1 species